GAGUGCCAUCCGCUGAGGAAGGCUUUUACCCAGUCUAGAACGCUGGGGGAAUAAGGAGAGGGCAAGUCUGGUGUCAGCCGCCGCGGUAAUACCAGCUCUCCGAGUGGUGUGGAUGUUUAUUGGGCCUAAAGCAUCCGUAGCUGGCUAAGUUAGUCCCUUGUUAAAUCCACCGAAUUAAUCGUUGGAUUGCGGGGGAUACUGCUUGGCUAGGGGACGAGAGAGGCAGACGGUAUUUUCGGGGUAGGGGUGAAAUCCUAUAAUCCCGGGAAGACCACCAGUGGCGAAGGCUGUCUGCUAGAACGCGCCCGACGGUGAGGGAUGAAAGCUGGGGGAGCGAACCGGAUUAGAUACCCGGGUAGUCCCAGCUGUAAACGAUGCAGGCUAGGUGUUUGGACGGCCACGUGCCGUUCUAGUGCCGCAGGGAAGCUGUUAAGCCUGCCGCCUGGGGAGUACGAUCGCAAGAUUGAAACUUAA
rnacentral:rRNA from 1 species